rnacentral:rRNA from 1 species
UGGGGAAUAUUGCGCAAUGGGGGAAACCCUGACGCAGCGACGCCGCGUGAGCGAAGAAGGCCUUCGGGUUGUAAAGCUCUGUUUUAAGGGACGAAAAGUAUAGAUAGUAAUAUGAUCUAUAAGUGACGGUACCUUAAGAGGAAGCCCCGGCUAACUACGUGCCAGCAGCCGCGGUAAGACGUAGGGGGCGAGCGUUGUCCGGAAUCACUGGGCGUAAAGGGCAAGUAGGCGGGCAAUUAAGUCAGAUGUAAAAGACCGGAGCUCAACUCCGAGUAGGCAUCUGAAACUGGAAGCCUUGAGGGCAGGAGAGGACAGUAGAAUUCCUGGUGUAGCGGUGAAAUGCGUAGAAAUCAGGAGGAAUACCGGUGGCGAAGGCGACUGUCUGGACUGACCCUGACGCUGAGGUGCGAAAGCGUGGGUAGCAAACA